AACGAACGCUGGCGGCAGGCUUAACACAUGCAAGUCGAGCGCCCCGCAAGGGGAGCGGCAGACGGGUGAGUAACGCGUGGGAACGUACCCUUUGCUACGGAAUAGCUCCGGGAAACUGGAAUUAAUACCGUAUGUGCCCUACGGGGGAAAGAUUUAUCGGCAAAGGAUCGGCCCGCGUUGGAUUAGCUAGUUGGUGGGGUAAUGGCCUACCAAGGCGACGAUCCAUAGCUGGUCUGAGAGGAUGAGCAGCCACAUUGGGACUGAGACACGGCCCAAACUCCUACGGGAGGCAGCAGUGGGGAAUAUUGGACAAUGGGCGCAAGCCUGAUCCAGCCAUGCCGCGUGAGUGGUGAAGGCCUUAGGGUUGUAAAGCUCUUUCACCGGAGAAGAUAAUGACGGUAUCCGGAGAAGAAGCCCCGGCUAACUUCGUGCCAGCCGCCGCAGUAACAC
rnacentral:rRNA from 1 species